GACGAACGCUGGCGGCGUGCUUAACACAUGCAAGUCGAACGGAAAGGCCUGCUUUCCCUUGUGGAUUGCGGGUACUCGAGUGGCGAACGGGUGAGUAACACGUGAGUGAUCUGCCCCCAACUUGGGUAUAAGCCUGGGAAACUGGGUCUAAUUCCCGAUAGGACUGCAGGGUGGUGCCUGUGGUGGAAAACGAUUUUCUAGUGGUUGGGGAUGAGCUCGCGGCCUAGCAGCUUGUUGGUGGGGUAGUGGCCUACCAAGGCGGCGACGGGUAGCCGGCCUGAGAGGGUGGACGGAGAGAGUGGGACUGAGAUACGGCCCAGACUCCUACGGGAGGCAGCAGUGGGGAAUAGUGCACGAUGGGCGGAAGCCUGAUGCAGCGACGCGGCGUGGGGGAUGACGGCGUGCGGGUUGUAAACUCCUUUCGACCGCGAGGAAGCCACCUGGUUGGAAGGGUGGUGACGGUAGUGGUAGAAGAGGCACCGGCUAACUACGUG
rnacentral:rRNA from 1 species